rnacentral:rRNA from 1 species
CGUAGGGACCAAGCGUUGUUCGGAGUUUACUGGGCGUAAAGGGCGCGUAGGCGGCGUGGUAAGUCAGCUGUGAAAUCUCCGAGCUUAACUCGGAACGGUCAGCUGAUACUGCUGUGCUAGAGUGCAGAAGGGGCAAUCGGAAUUCUUGGUGUAGCGGUGAAAUGCGUAGAUAUCAAGAGGAACACCUGAGGUGAAGACGGGUUGCUGGGCUGACACUGACGCUGAGGCGCGAAAGCUAGGGUAGCAAACGGGAUUAGAUACCCCGGUAGUCCUAGCCCUAAACGAUGAAUACUUGGUGUCUGGAGUUUUAAUUCUCCGGGUGCCGUCGCUAACGUUUUUAGUAUUCCGCCUGGGGAGUACGCACGCAAGUGUG